rnacentral:rRNA from 1 species
CGUGGGUAACCUGCCCAUCAGAGGGGGAUAACAUUCGGAAACGGAUGCUAAAACCGCAUAGGUUCUACAGUCGCAUGACUGAAGAAGGAAAAGAGGCUUCGGCUUCUGCUGAUGGAUGGACCCGCGGUGCAUUAGCUAGUUGGUGAGGUAACGGCUCACCAAGGCCGUGAUGCAUAGCCGACCUGAGAGGGUAAUCGGCCACAUUGGGACUGAGACACGGCCCAA